rnacentral:rRNA from 1 species
GAUGAACGCUAGCGGCAGGCUUAAUACAUGCAAGUCGAGGGGCAGCGGGAGUAGCAAUACUUGCCGGCGACCGGCGCACGGGUGCGUAACACGUAUGUAAUCUGCCCAUCACAGGAGGAUAGCCCGGAGAAAUUCGGAUUAAUACUCCAUAAUAGAAGAUAAAGCAUUUUAUUUCUUGAAAGUUCCGACGGUGAUGGAUGAACAUGCGACUGAUUAGUUUGUUGGUGAGGUAACGGCUCACCAAGACUACGAUCAGUAGGGGUACUGAGAGGUUAAACCCCCACACUGGUACUGAGACACGGACCAGACUCCUACGGGAGGCAGCAGUAAGGAA